rnacentral:lncRNA from 1 species
GGGGGAGGGAAGUCAGUGUAGCAAAUAACAGUGGGGGAGGAAAUGUGGACAGGAUUAUGAGGGUUACACUGUGUUCGCUGCACUAGCCAAGACUUGAGUGAUUUGUUCCAUUCUCUGCUGCGUGUAGCUUGCUUUGUCUACACUCCUAAUGUAUAACGUGCACUUAAUGUGUUAACUGAUACUUCACAGAAUAGGUACCACCUCCUAGCAUGACAAAAUUCCUGCACAGAAAGCUAAACAGAGCCUCCAUGGUCACAUGCUGUAUACCUUUAAAUUGCACACUCUGAGGAACAGAGGAGGGAUGUUGUCUUCAUGAGCAGCCUGUGAGCAUCUCAAGGGCAUCUGCCUGCCAUCUGUUGAAAACAGAAUGCUGGACUAAGGUGGACCUGAGGUCCAAUCCAGCAGGACUCAAGUGGUUAUGCUUUCUUUCAAGCAAGAAAAAGCAUGCAAUGUUCUUGUGGACCACAUCUGACAAGUCACAAGCAGAGACAUACCUACAGGUCACUUAAAUUGGCCCUUGCCCAGGGGGGCAAAAUUCACACCUGUUGACUCUGGCUCAGAGUGCCUAGGAGCCCCGUUGCCCAUCUGCCCGCUCCCUGGGCCACCCCUCCAUUACUCUGGGCAGCCAGGCAUGGCACGUCGACUCCUCUGGGUGCCUCGGUGGACCUCUUUGCCAAGGGUGCAAGGGAGCCUAGGAAUGCCUCUGAUUACACGUGUUUCAUCUUGCUGGGUUCACAGCAGAAUACCAGUUGUUAAACAUGACAUUCUACAUGCAAGUUGCAUACAAUUUCUUUCCUGAAAUGUGCAGGAGAUUUGCCAACAUAACAAAUUUGCCAAUUCUUAACAAAAUGCUCUUUAACACCAGCAAAUUUUAUUUGGGCAAGCGCUUUGGAAAACCUUCUCCACCUCCUCCUCUAUCAAGUUGUUUGCUUUUAAACUUCUGCUGAUUAUGGAAUUCUCAGUUGUUUAAUCACAUGCCUUUUGAAUGAUUCGUUUUAAAUAUAUUUGCAUGUUACCAAAAUCUCAAUAUAGGUGCCUUUUUGAGAUGUGUAUUGCAUUGUAAGUAUAAGAUCUGUGACUCCCUGUUCUAAUGAAAGGUCAUAUUUUAAUGCUUUCCUCUAUCAUUUCCUAUUAUGGCACAGCAUCAGAGCCAAAAUAGCCUCAAAAGACAUGUGCUGUUUGUUCUCAGUCCCAGCAACCAAAAUCUGCCCUCAGCACCUAAAAUUAAACCUUACAAUCCUAUUUCUUAUGCUCAUGGCUGCUCAGGUUCAACAACCUUUAUUAACAUGGACUCCCAUUCUGCAUUUUGCACACACUUGCCUAUAUGAAUUCUUACAACAGCAUCUUUUCAAUAUUUUAAAUGUUUUUGCAUGCACACACAACCACAUAAACUUUAGUCUGAGCACUGUAUAAGUGGGGUAGAAUUUGUUUUGUUUUGUUUUUAAUUCUACCACCACUCCUCAAAUGGAAACAAUAGCUUCUCUCCCUGCCCCCAUUCCCCAGUAAUUAUUGGAAGAGGAAGCCUUCAUGCAUUGCUAACUGGCUACAAAAUGCAAAUCUUUCAAAAUACUCUGUAUGGGAAGAAGAGGGAAUAUUGUAUUAAGAAACACAAAUUUAAAUAACAAAGGGACUCACUCAGCAGUGAACACCACCUUGGAAUGGAACUAGGUGCUGGUGCAGAACUGGUUGGAUCUCAAGAGUUGUUUGGACAUUUCCAGGAGAUACUUCAGAUUUUCUCCACCCACCCCACUGUCCUACCAGCAAGUCUGUUGAUUCUUUCUUUCUGAGGAAUCUUGCAUGCCCCCUGGUCCAGCCCUGCUCUCUCUGCAGGUGUUAAAACAUCUUGCCACAGAUUGCUCUGGGUGUUAACCCAACAGUUGCUGGGACUCUGUAGACACCUUGUGCUUUCUGAGUCAUAUUCUGCUGCUAAUGACCAAGGUUCCUAGCAUAGGACAUUGGGAAAUAAUCAAUAGAUGGGAGUUACCAUUCUUAAUCAGUUUGGGCCAGCUGAAGAUUGGGUCAUGCUCCAUGCUAUGGUCCAUCCUUCCUGGUCCCUACCUCCUGCCUAUGUACAUUGCACUUUGGGUAAGGGGAUCAGGGACAAAUUCUUUUCCCAGCUGGAAGAGGCACCAAAUUGUAGGUUUCUACAGCUCUGGACUAUGUACUGGUUUUUGGUUGGGGCUGAGCUUUUCACCUGACCUAGGAGCUGCAUAUCCUUUGCCAAACUCCCCUCCCCCUUGUAACGGCUCUUGUCGGUUCUUCAUCUCUCCCCUAUUACUGCUUAGCUAUGUAACACAGCCUCUCCUGUUCAUCUCCUGAAAACAACCUCUGCCCCACCCCACGCUGCAAGUAACAACUAACCCUUUGAUAAAGCAGAUGGAAGUCCUGGGAUUCCUGAUGGAUGGAAGGGCUGAAAUCUGGCCAGAUUUUUCUUCAUUUUUCAAAGGCCAUUAGCUUCUGGCACAGAUUGCCAAAGUGGGGCCAUUGAUUUCCUGUCUGUCCCAGACCAAAACAAACCACCUUUCCUAAGUGAUGAUAAAUGCAACUGCCUUACUCAUAUAAUGAUUGGAGAGGAAUUUGCUGGCCUAUGCUAAUGAUCUAAAUAGUCUCUUUUUGCUUUUGAUCGUAAGACUACAGACCACUUCACCUGACAUUCUGAGCUAUUGCACAGGAUUUUUACACCCCUUUGUGUUUCCCUUACAAAUUUGCAAGCCAGAGCAAAGGCAAUAGGGCCCAAGAACCCAGUGCUUUCCACUCUUGAAUGGCUGGGGAUGGGGAAUGUCAACAUGGUUUAGGAGGUGAGAAGUUGUUUUGCUAACAAUGGUUAGUUCUGAGGAUGAAAUAACUGCUGUGCUCUUUAAGCCUGAGAAUGCCAACCAGUUCCACCAGUUCCAGUUUCCAUAAUAACUGUGAGAGUUAUUUCCCUUGCAACUGGGCCCAAAAUUAGGGAUUUUCCAAACACCACCACCUCUUUCUGCUGCUGCUGCCAUCAUUAAGAUGUUCCAGAUCUGUGAACGUGCCAAGUGUCUGCCCAGCACCCUCCUGCAAAUUGAGGGGCGAGUGGCUAUCAGAAGUCUCAUCUGCUCAGGGCCAGGUUUCACUGGGAGAGCAACUGUUCCAUCUUCUUGCAUGCACACUCACGCCUGCAUUGCCAGAGCCGUGGGAGAACCCAAACACAGUCUUCCAGGGUUUCAGCUUUAAGUCCACCAGUGUUGUCUCAAUGCCAGUGUUGUCUCAGACCUUCUCCUUCGCUUCCUACCCCUCAAGUCCUGCCCAGUGCAGGUUAUAUACUGUCUGUGAUUUUUGUGCUAACUUUAUCAUGGAACAUAGCAAUAAAAGGAACCACCCUGAUCUUCCAGCUG